CCCCCCCCGCCCCUCGCCAGGGAGGAGAAGAGGGGGUGCGGGUUUCCAGCCGGUGUGGACGCACGAGAAGGUACGGACUCCUGGAAGCAGGCUGUUGAGCACCUCAUGGAAGCCAAGGAAUUUGCUAUGAACCAAGGAUAUGGGGGUGAAGUCAUCACAGCAAGGCUCUCUGAGACUUGGGUGAGGUUUGCCAGAUUCAAAGUCUUGCAUUUUAAGCAUUACACCAUAAAAUCAGGAGUCUGUAGGGGAGCAGGGUACUCUCAUCAUUUAGUGCAGAGCCUGUCAUGUGGCAGGAGCUUAACAAAUGUUGAAAUGAAUAAAGAUAAUUUCUCUUGUU